rnacentral:rRNA from 1 species
UACGGGGGGAGCAAGCGUUGUUCGGAUUCAUUGGGCGUAAAGGGCGCGUAGGCGGCUUGGCAAGUCCGACAUGAAAUGUACCGGUUCAACCGGGGCACUGUGUCGGAAACUGCCUGGCUUGAGGUCGAGGGAGGAGAGUGGAAUUCAUGGUGUAGCAGUGAAAUGCGUAGAGAUCAUGAGGAAGACCAGUGGCGAAGGCGGGUCUCUGGACAGUUCCUGACACUGAGACACGAAGGCCAGGGGAGCAAACGGG